rnacentral:lncRNA from 1 species
UUCUUUUUUUUUUUUUUUUAAUUUUUAAUUUUGUGUGUGUGUGUGUGUGUGUGUGUGUGUGUGUGUUGAGACAGGGUCUCAGUGUAUAGCUAUGGCUGUCUUGGAACUCACUAGGUAGAAGAGGCUGCCUCAACUCACGGAGAUCUGCCUGCCUCUGGGAUUAAAGGCGUGCACCACCAUGCCCAGCUAUGGGACCACUUUUUUUUUUUUUAAAGUUUUAUUUAUUUCUAUGCAUUGGUGUUCUGCCUGCAUGUCUGUGUGAGGGUGCCAGAUCCUCUGGAACUGGAGUUACAGAUAGUUGUGAGCUGCCAUGUGGAUGCUGGAAAUUGAACUCGGGUCUUCCGGAAGAGCAGCCAGUGCUCUUAAUCACCGAGCCAUCUCUCCAGCCCCAAGGGGCCACUUUUAAAAGCAAUUGGCUUCAAGCACCUUGCCAAAAUACAGUGUCCUGUUUGAAGACGGGUGGUGGGAAGCUAGAGUUCUCAGAUUGUACAACUCUUCCCACACCCUCUGGCUGAGGAGGUCCUUACAUUUCCCACUCUCUCCUCCCUUUCCUCUUAGGCUGUGGCGGCUUUUUGAGUGACACCCAAGGGACAUUUAGCAGCCCCUACUAUCCAGGCCACUACCCGCCCAACAUCAACUGCACAUGGAAUAUCAAGGUAGGAGCAGGUGGCGGCGAGUGCCACGGGACUUGAGGAAAAGCAGGAGGGGAAGAUGACAUUAACAACCCAGAGAGCCAUGUUAACAGGACCCACAAGUCUUUGCUGCAGGACUAGCCACAUCCAGACUUGUGUGCCCUAGCUCUUUGAUUGACAGCUGAGAGAGCAUGGGUGUUUGUCUUCUCUGGAUCAGCUUGCUUCUGGGUAAAGUGAGGCUGAAGAUCUGUUUCUAAGAGGUGUUGUCCGGAUGACCUCACCGAAAGUGUGAAAGAGAGCAAGCCCUAGCACGGCGGUAGUGCUUCUGGGUGCCUCUCGCAUCCUCCAAUCGGAGGUCUUUCCCUAAAGAUGCUGAGGCACCCCAUCCUAGCCUUUCAAAGUAACAGAGUACAAAUUCCCACACGUGUGCUUAUGGUUUUCAUUUCCAAGUGGCAGUUAUCUGUGGUCAGUCAUGAUCUGAAAAUGUUAGGUGGAAAACUCCAGAAAUAAACAUGGGCGGGAAGAGUGGGUUUGUUCAGUCGCCCAUGCUGGGUGCACUACUUGACUGUUACUUAAUACCCGUCAUGCUACCACACCGACCGUUGUGUAUCACAGGGCUGGCAUUCAAGGAAUUCUUACUAAAUAAUGGCCCCCAAAUAUUAGCUCUUUGGAUAAAUCACAGAAAAUAAAGAAAGUCCUUCCUGCAGGUGAAAAAUGUAAAUUUUUUUAUUUCAUUUUUUUUUUUGCUAGAUAUUUUCUUUAUUUACAUUUCAAAUGUUAUCCCCUUUCCUGGUUUCCCCUCCUAUUCCCCCCGCCGCCCCAUGCUUACCAACCCACCCACUUCCACUUCCUGGCUGUGGCAUUCUCCUAAACUGGGGCAUAGAACCUUUGCAGGACCAAGGGCCUCUCCUCCCAUUGAUGUCCGACUAGGCCAUCCUCUGCUACAUAUGCAGCUGGAGCCAUGAGUCCCUCCAUGUGUUUUCUUUGGUUGUUGGUUUAGUCCCUGGGAGCUCUGGGGAUAGUGGUUGGGUCAUAUUGUUCCUUCUAUGGUGCUGCAGACCCCUUCAGCUCCUUAGGUCCUUUCUCUAGCUCCUCCAUUGGGGAGGAGGGUGCUCAGCCCUCUGCUCAGUCCAAUGGCUGCUUUCGAGCACCCACCUCUGUAUUUGUCAGGCACUGGUAGAGCCUCUCAGGAGACAGCUAUAACAGACUUCUGUCAGCAAGCACUUGUUGGCAUCCACAGUAGUGUCUGGGUUUGGUGACUGUAUAUGAGAUGGAUCCCCAGGUGGGGCAGUCUCUGGAUGCUCGGUCAUACCUUCAGUCUCUGCUCCACACUUUGUAACUCCUUCCAUGGGUAAUUUAUUCCCCUUUCUAAGAAGGACCAAAGUAGCCACACUUUGGUCUUCCUUCUUCUUGAGUUUCAUGUGGUUUGUGAAUUGUAUCUUGGGUAUUCUGAGCUUCUGGGCUAAUAGCCACUUAUCAGUGAGUGCAUACCACGUGUGUUCUUUUGUGAUUGAGUUGCUUCACUCAGGAUGAUAUUGUCUUGUUCCAUCCAUUUGCCUACGAAUUUCAUGAAUUCGUUGUUUUUAACAACCGAGUAGUAUUCCAUUGAGUAAAUGUACCACAUUUUCUGUAUCCAUUCCUCUGUUGAGGGACAUCUGGGUUCUCUCCAGCUUCUGGCUAUUAUAAAUAAGGCUGCUAUGAACAUAGUGGAGCAUGUGUCCUUGUUACAUGUUGGAGCAUCUUCUGGGUAUAUGCCCAGGAGUGGUAUUGCUGGGUCUAUAUGAUUUUAUGAUAAUAGUGAUAAAACCACUGUGUUGAGCUUAUUAAGAUUUGUGGAUCAUUGUGUUAGUGAAAUAAGCCAGGUACAAGAAGACAAGGGUCACAGGAUCUUACUCAUAGGUAGAAUCCCCAAAGGUUGGCCUCUUGAAGAAGUCAAGAAAGAGAGUAAUGGUUACCAGAGAGGUUGGGAGAGUAGGGAGAAGGGGUGGGAGAAGCUGAUUAAGGUUUAGGGGACGAUGUUCAGUUAGACAGGAGCCAGGCACUCUGCCAUGUAUUGCAGAGGGACUGACUAGAAAUACCAGUAACUACGAUAGACCUCAAAAAGCCCGAGGGAAGUUUUCACUAUUUCAAAAACAUCAGAAAUGUCCAAGGAGGUAAAUAUAUUUAAUCUGAUGUAAAGAUUAUAUAGUAAUAAUACAUAUCAUUUUUAUGGUUUUAUAUAUAAGUUAAAAUAACUAAAACUUAAAAACAGGAGAGCCGUUUAUCAUAUCUGUGUAUGUAUAUAUGUCAGAGGAAAGUCAUAGGGCGUAUGGGAUUCGUUCAGGGCCCUGCUCCCUCCUGUUUCACUGCCCUCCCAUGUUAAGUACCAAAGAAGCCAGAGUCCCCAAAGCAUCUCUCUGUCCAGGUGCCCAACAACCGGAACGUGAAGGUGCGCUUCAAACUCUUCUAUCUGGUGGACCCCAACGUACCAGUGGGCUCCUGCACCAAGGACUAUGUGGAGAUCAACGGGGAGAAGUGAGCCCCUAGGGGUGCAACCACAUCCUGGGUAUUGGGAGGGCUGGUCCCAGGCACCCCCAGUUGUCUGCUUGCCAGCCUCGCUGUCUCCCUCAGCCUCGCUCUUGCCCUCUAGGUACUGCGGUGAGAGGUCCCAGUUUGUGGUGAGCAGCAACAGCAGCAAGAUUACAGUCCACUUCCAUUCUGAUCACUCGUACACGGACACCGGGUUCCUAGCUGAGUACCUCUCCUACGACUCCAACGACCGUGAGUGAGCGCGGCUGCUGAUGGCUGGCGGGAUUGGUGCAGGAAGUACUCUGUUCUGUCCAGCACUGUGCUCCCUCCGAGGGGACAGGGACGGAUUGGCAGAUGCAUCUCACUGCGGUAGCUUUAGAGGAAAGCAAGGCUGUUUACACAC